GUGAACGCUGGCGGCGUGUCUAACACAUGCAAGUCGAACGAUGAUAGAGAGCUUGCUCUCUUGAUUAGUGGCGCACGGGUGAGUAAUAUAUAGUUAAUGUGCCUCGAAGACUGGGAUAGCCACUGGAAACGGUGAUUAAUACUAGAUACACCUUUUUAACAUAUGUUAAAUCGGGAAAUGUUUUUUCGCUUCGAGAUCAGACUAUAUCCUAUCAGUUAGUUGGUGAGGUAAAGGCUCACCAAGGCAAUGACGGGUAGCGGUUCUGAGAGGAUGAUCCGCCACACUGGUACUGAGACACGGACCAGACUCCUACGGGAGGCAGCAGUGAGGAAUAUUGCACAAUGGGGGGAACCCUGAUGCAGCAACGCCGCGUGGAGGAUGACGCAUUUCGGUGUGUAAACUCCUUUUAUAUGUCAAGAAAAUGACGGUAGCAUAUGAAUAAGCACCGGCUAACUCCGU
rnacentral:rRNA from 1 species